rnacentral:rRNA from 1 species
UAGGGAUUAUUGGACAAUGGGCGCAAGCCUGAUCCAGCCAUGCCGCGUGAGUGAAGAAGGCCCUCGGGUUGUAAAGCUCUUUUGUCCGGAAAGAAAAGCUUUGGGUUAAUACCCCGAAGUCCUGACGGUACCGGAAGAAUAAGCACCGGCUAACUUCGUGCCAGCAGCCGCGGUAAUACGAAGGGUGCAAGCGUUACUCGGAAUUACUGGGCGUAAAGCGUGCGUAGGUGGUUCGUUAAGUCUGAUGUGAAAGCCCUGGGCUCAACCUGGGAAUGGCAUUGGAUACUGGCGGGCUAGAGUGCGGUAGAGGGCAGUGGAAUUCCCGGUGUAGCAGUGAAAUGCGUAGAGAUCGGGAGGAACAUCUGUGGCGAAGGCGACUGCCUGGACCAGCACUGACACUGAGGCACGAAAGCGUGGGGAGCAAACAGG